rnacentral:lncRNA from 1 species
AUGUGUACAAGCAACGCCGGUACAAUGUGUACUAUACACAGAUUCUGUAGACUAAACAUUUUUUUAUGGUUAUAAUGAGCUGUGUUUUACUUUAAGGGCUCGUUGGGGCAUCAAAUAUCAUAUUAGCAUUUUCGAAUACUGAAUUUCACUAUUUGCAGAUACUGGUUUAGCAGCCAUCAGUUUUUGUAAAUAGUGAUUUGAUGAGUAUUCCAAAAGAAAGGUAUCAUGCUUAGCUUUUUAGGACAGAUCAGAAAUGGAAGUGUAUCACAUGAAAUUGAGUACUCCCUCCAUUCACUUUUACUCGUCAAUAUUUGAAUUUACAUGCCCUUUAAGAAAAAUAAAUAACAUAUGUAUUUUACAACAACAACAACAACAACUACCUAGUAUAUUCCCACAAAGUGGGGUCUGGGGAGAGUAAUAUGUAGACGGGCCUUAACCCUACCCGAAAGGGCAGAGAGGCUGUUUCCAAUCGCCCCCGGCUCAGUGAAGGAAAGGAAAAACAAAAACAAAAACAAAAGAGCAUUAGUAACUCCGGCAGAAAUAGCGUAAAUAAUAAUUUAAACAUAAGAACCACAAAUAAAAUAGCAUGCGAUAACAUCAGACAGUAACUACCAUAAAUAACUACCAUAAGGUAGACACAAUCCAAUACACAAAUCAUCUAUGGAUAGCCCUGUCAAACCUCACCCAACCCCGGGUGAGGAGAACGAAGAACUCUAGGAGCCCCUAUCCUACAACCGUGAUACUAGUCCCUGUCAAGCCUCACCCAACCCCGGGUGAGGAUUACGGAAAACUCUAGGAGCCCCUAUCCUACAACCUUGAUACUAAACCUCCAGGCUUUCCUAUCAAGGGCUAUAAUAGUGAUAUUUCACACUUUUCCCAUAAUAGUGAUAUUUCAAAAAUUCUUAGGAAAUGAAUAGUUAAUGAUAAGGGUAAAAUAAUUGUUUUUUAAUAUAAAGGACAAGUAAAAAUGAAUGGAUUGAGUAAUAAUUUUCUUUAAGCUGUAAGGUGGAAAAACAUAGUUGUAGGCAUACAGGAAAGUGAAACAGUUUGUUUUCUAGAUCGUAUCACAGACAUGAGAUUAUGUAGAACAGUAUAUAUAGUUCUACUCCAUAAUUUGCUAACUGUAGAAAAUUCAUGUGUAAUCAGCAUUAUCAAGUCAUGAUACUUCAUAUACUCAUUUUUUUCAACUUCACUCAAAAUUGUCCAAACACCUACUUGUAUAAUCAUCAAGCUCAACCUACUACCAAUGAAAUAUCUUCUGAGAACAAAAAUGAUUGCAGGAUGCCAUAGAGUUCUAAACAAGAAGUGUCAAAAUAGCAUUGGAACAAAUAGCAAUUCUCCAAACCUAUUUUAUGUGUUGGAUAUUACAACUUCUAUGCAGGGAAAUAUUUCCUUACAAAUUGUGGAGAACAUAUUCAGCAAGAAAAUAACUGCAAACUCACUAGUAAGAUAUACCGUACAAAAAAAUUUACAGCUAUAUUUUCAAACUCAGGCCAGUAGCAGGAGUUCAGAUGAGAAUACCUGGAGAGACGAGCGAACUCCAGAUAUAUUGAGCUGACCCUGAAAGUUAUGUAUAAAAUAUGUAUAAAUAAGUAGAACACAGGUGCAAGUCUGGAAACCAGCGCCAAGAUUCAUCAAAACUUUUAGCACGUUGUCACAAUGCUAUUUUUGCUGUGAUUCUUCCUCCCCAUCUCUUUUAACAGAGGCUAAAAUUGAACCAAGGUGAAGUCUGAAAUCGGCAAAUUUCUCCACUGGCAUAAUUUUAUCCAGGGGAUGGAACGAGAUCUCAAAGAAAGUUGGCUUUGGUGUGGAGAGACAGCCAAUAUAUCCAAUUAAUUCCUGCACAACGAGUACAUGGAACUUUGGGGGUCCAUUCAGCGCAAUGUUGUGAACCCGGUGCUCAUAAAUCUUCCCAUCUUUGUCUAGUUUAUACUCUGAAGUGCCAUCGAACCGGCCACGGCUCUCCCAUGGAAUACGGGGAAUGCCAUAAACAGUCCAUCGAACCAUGAUCAUGCCUUCUACAGGCUGUCAUACACUAACAAUAUCUAUUCAUAAAGCCCUAAAGAACAUUCUUCCCUGGAAUCGUAAAGCCCAAAAGAUCGAUUUAUAAUUCUCAAUGCCAGUAAAAGUGCUGAGGGGAUCUUUGAAGACUAUAUCAUCCCUGU